CUCUCCCUUUCAAAUAAUUCUUCUAAACCUUAUAGCAUAUUAUAUAGCUCAAGAUAUAGCUUUUUGCCAUUUCCAUUUUUGAGCUUUGGUUAGCUUUGUUACUCAUUCAUAGCUUUUCCUUGCACCCACAUCCAUGAAUUCUACAAGGGAGUCUCCGAAAGUUCAGUUAGCGACGGUGACGGAGGAUGCUCGCUCCGGCGUGGACCGUGGCAGUGUAGGGUGGAAGGGUUCUUCUACAAAGAAGAACCAAAGGUGAAGAUGAUGAAAGAACCAACAUGACACAGGCUUUGCAAUUACACUCUCCGAGUUUCUAGCCCACCAUCAAAUAUAAGGUGCAGAAAUGGUAGAGUGUGAUCAUUGCAUUGCGGGGAAUUGAGGGUAGUGGUCCGAAUUACCUUUAACUUUAAGUACUUAUUUCUUGGUUUUCUAUUAUGUUUUCUUUAAUUUCUUAAGUAUUUCCCACUGAUUUUAUCUUUGCUUUUUUGUUUUACAUUUCAAUAUAAUUAUGCUUAUGUUUGAUUAAAGCAUGGGAUGUAAGAGAUGCAUACGAGGUUGCUGGGGUAGGUUAUGGUGUGUUUGGUCAAAGGGGUAGCAUGAUAGUUUUGUCUUAUGCUUGGAGGGUUAAUUUAGGGUCUCAAUGCAGCUGGCAUGCAUCAUUUACACUCAUCAAUGUAGCUUUGUCAUGAGUUUGCUUUUGAUUUCUCUUCAUUCCAUAGGAGAUGCAAAGUAG